rnacentral:rRNA from 1 species
AAUGAACGCUGGCGGCGUGCCUAACACAUGCGAGUCGAACGAGAAAGCCCAGCUUGCUGGGCAAGUAAAGUGGCGCACGGGUGAGUAACGCGUGGAUAAUCUACCUUUGUCUGGGGGAUAACCUACCGAAGGGUGGGCUAAUACCGCAUAACGUGAUCGAGUUGCGAUUUGAUCACCAAAGAUGGCCUCUCCUUGGAAGCUAUCAGGUAAAGAUGAGUCCGCGUCCCAUUAGCUAGUUGGUAGGGUAAAGGCUUACCAAGGCGACGAUGGGUAGCUGGUCUGAGAGGAUGGCCAGCCACACUGGAACUGGAACACGGUCCAGACUCCUACGGGAGGCAGCAGUGAGGAAUCUUGCGCAAUGGGGGCAACCCUGACGCAGCAACGCCGCGUGAGUGAAGAAGGCCUUCGGGUCGUAAAGCUCUGUCAAGUGGGAAGAAUAGCCUGAAGACGAAUAAUCUUGAGGUAUGACGGUACCACUGGAGGAAGCACCGGCUAACUCCGUGCCAGCAGCCGCGGUAAUACGGAGGGUGCAAGCGUUAUUCGGAAUUAUUGGGCGUAAAGGGCGUGUAGGCGGCCAGACAAGUCAGAUGUGAAAGCCCAGGGCUCAACCCUGGAAGUGCAUUUGAAACUGUUUGGCUUGAGUGCGGGAGAGGAAAGCGGAAUUCCCAGUGUAGAGGUGAAAUUCGUAGAUAUUGGGAGGAACACCGGUGGCGAAGGCGGCUUUCUGGACCGACACUGACGCUGAGGCGCGAAAGCGUGGGGAGCAAACAGGAUUAGAUUCCCUGGUAGUCCACGCCGUAAACGAUGGGCACUAGGUGUAGGAGGUUUUUAACCCUCCUGUGCCGUAGCUAACGCAUUAAGUGCCCCGCCUGGGGAGUACGGUCGCAAGAUUA